UGGGGAGUCGUCAAGCGGCAAGACACGGGACUUUGGAUCCUGGAUCGGAGGUUCGAAUCCUCCCUCCCCAACCA
rnacentral:tRNA from 1 species